CCCGCUCUUUCUUUCUUCUCUCUUCUUUCCCAAUGGAGAUCGCAGUUGCGUGAUCUCCUUCUUCUCUCCCGCUUGUGGUAGCCACCGCAAACGGUCCCUUUCUUUCUUCUCCUUCCUUCCUUUUCUUCUUUCCUUCUUAUUCCUCUCUUCUUUUUUUCCCUUCGGCUUAUAGUUGCCGCCACAAGCAGUUCCCCUUGGAGUGG
rnacentral:lncRNA from 1 species